GACGUAGGGCGCGAGCGUUGUCCGGAUUUAUUGGGCGUAAAGAGCUCGUAGGCGGCUUGUCGCGUCGACCGUGAAAACUCGCAGCUCAACUGCGAGCCUGCGGUCGAUACGGGCAGACUAGAGUUCGGUAGGGGAGUCUGGAAUUCCUGGUGUAGCGGUGAAAUGCGCAGAUAUCAGGAGGAACACCGGUGGCGAAGGCGGGACUCUGGGCCGAUACUGACGCUGAGGAGCGAAAGCGUGGGGAGCGAACAGG
rnacentral:rRNA from 1 species